GAUCAUAGCUCAGGAUGAACGCUAGCGACAGGCCUAACACAUGCAAGUCGAGGGGCAGCGAAGAGGUAGCAAUACCUUUGCCGGCGACCGGCGCACGGGUGAGUAACACGUAUGCAAUCCACCUGUAACAGGGGGAUAACCCGGAGAAAUCCGGACUAAUACCCCAUAAUAUGGGCGCUCCGCAUGGAGAGCCCAUUAAAGAGAGCAAUUUUGGUUACGGACGAGCAUGCGCUCCAUUAG
rnacentral:rRNA from 1 species